UUUAUUAGAAAAAAAAUAAGGAUUAGUAUAUUAGAGAACUUCUUCCUUAUGUUCUUUAAUAUGAGUUACCUCAUGAGCUGGGAGGUUUUUAGAAACAGUCUCUCUAUUCCUAUGAGGUAGGGGCAAGGUCUGGGUACACUCUUCCCUGCCCACACCCCACCAUAUGGGAACUACACUGGGUAUGUUAUUUUUGUUGUUUUAUAUUAGAGAACGUGACAACUAACCACUCCAACUAUUGGUAUGGUUUCUGUUUUCUGAUUAUAGUUAAGUUGUUAAGGAUGAGAUUGUAGUUGAUGAAUUGGAACUUGCUAAUUUCAUUUUCUGGAAUAUACCAAACCAUUGAAACUGCAUUAUUUGAUUGGGAGAAAUCUUCAUAUAUUUCUCUUUCAAUUUGAAGGAAUCUCAAAAGUUAGAGACAAAACGGAGAUGUUGCAUGUUGAUUAGCAUUGGCAUUGUGAUCUGAUGAGGUACAUCAACUUAUUCAGAUCAUUGCUUUUCCCUAUUUUAGGACAAAUUUAUUAUAUAGCUUGUUUAGUCAUCUCAGUCCGUGUGUUGUAAAUAAAAUGUAGGAAAUCGUUGUAGAAUUAUUUUCUCCUAUUCAAAUUUUAAAUGGACUGAGAGAUCAUUUUCUCAUCUGAACUACGCAUAAACCAAAUACAAUAAUAGCAAUACGAAAUUCCAGCUAAUUCUGUUUGUUCUUCAAUCAAUAUAAUAGUACUCUUAAGGGGGACAUACUACUUGAUCGUUUACAUCAGAUUAACGAAUACAAAAUUAUAUAAACCAUCUUCUAAUCAUUGAUUAAGUGAUAUGGAUUCUUCCUCCUCAUCUUAGAUCCCAUUUCCAUUACUUUCUUUCUUCUCAUCAACAGACUUCACUUGAGUUAUUUCCACUUUCUUAGCCUUGUCCUCUUCCUUCUCUUUCAUCUUUUUGUGAAGAAAAUUAAUCAACCCUUUAAGUGAAUCUCCAACUUCAUGUUCCUUCAACAACUGCUCUGCUACUUCUGCUGGUGUCACAUUGGCUAUGUCAAUCAAUUCCUCAAUUUCUUUGAAAAAUUUAUGAUCUUUAAUCCCCAAGUAAUUGGCAGCAAGAAGUUUGAAGCCACACGGUGUGCAAUAUGCCAUGUGAAUGUGCACGUCCAUUCUGCCAGGUCGUCGCAGCAGUACAGGGUCGAGUUUUUCUAUGUGAUUAGUUGUAAAAAUUAUGAUUCUUUCAUUUCCAUAGCUCGUCAAUAAAAUUUAGUAAACCUGACAAGGUGAUCUGCAAUAAAAAAAAUAUAUUAGUAAAGGUGAAGUAUUACACACAACACACUACACUAAUACCAAAUCCAAAUAUUCCCGAUAAUUGACACUUAAUUUAUUCAAGAAUAUCACAAAUUAAUGGAGGGUGAAAUUAUUGUGGUUCCAUGUCAGUAGAAUUUGUAAAAAAAUAUCGACUAAUCCGUAGGCAAGGAUGCAUUAGAACAAUUGUUCAGAACCCCUUCAUACUCUUGUCAUGUCGAAAUACUGCACAAAAAGAGGAAUAGUAAAGAUAGGAAACAGAAAAUAUAAGACUAAUUUACUGUGCUUUCGGACUGAUGAAAAUCAUUUGAACGAACAUACAUAGCUCGAUUAAUCAAAUUAGCUUUCAAGUUAAUGGUACAAUCAAUGUCCUCAAUCACCAAAAUUGACUUAUUGGUUGUGGCAACCAACAACUUCCUUAAAUCUGAAUUCCUCGUCACUGCAGUCAACUCCAAAUCAUAUAAAUCGACGUUUAAAUAAUUCGCUAUUGCAGCUAUCAAACUAGAUUUCCCCGUCCCGGAGGACCAAACAACAAAUACCCUCUUUUCCAUGCCUUCCCUACUUUCCUGUAAUACUCUUUCCUCGUCAUGAAUCUCUCCAAAUCCUUCAAGAUCAUGUCUUUCUGGUCAUUGUCUCAAAAGUGGUGGGAUAAUUAAAAUUCACCGACUUCCACAUGUUAUGUAAACAAAUCAUCUUUCCUUGUUUUUCUUGUGAAAUGUUAACUCAAAGGAUCUUAUUACAAAUUUCUAAGCCGAAUCCAUGUCUCUGGGGUUGUAGAAGUGUUUAGACUCUACUUGUCUACAGAGCCAAAUCCACUUGAAUGACUGUCCAUUAUAAACAUCUAUCACCUGCUGGAAUAAAACCUUAAGAUUAGAAAAUAGCAUCAUCUUCAAAAGAUUUAUUAUGUUAAAUUAUUACGAAGGCAAAUUAAAUGUGGAAGCUUACCUGAGUACCCAUGCAUAUAGAACAAUUUUUCAAAUCAAGACGUGAAUUUUAAGGGAAGUGAUAUUCACUUUUCUAAUGGUGGACGGUUAGAAAAAAUUUCAUAUGUCUAAUCUGGAGACCAUAACCCUAUUUAUAAUUACAAAUAGUUUGUUUGUUUCUAUUUUGUUUGGUUUAUCAUUAAAUUAGAAGUUGUAUCAGCAUAUCUACACAUAAAAACACAUACUUUAUGAUUUUUCUUACGAACACUUAACUUUUUGCAUUAAGUUGACUACCUAAUUACUUGUAUUCUAUGUUGCUCGGACCCUAAAAAUUGUGGUUAUAUACGUGUCAGAUUCUCCAAAAGUGCAUAGCAUUAGAAGGAUCCAAUAUUUUCACUCGACAAUCACUACAAAAAAACUGAAAUUUGCUACAAAUUUUAUUGCUUAUUCGUUGCUAAAUAGCUCAUAGCUAACACAAGUUUUGGAUAAUCUGUGGUGACAUAUAUUGUUGUUAAGCUACAAAAUUUGUCCACCACUAAUCCAUAUAUUCUUAGUAGUAAGUAUCUUUUUAGAGUCCAAGCAACAUAACUUUUAGUUUGAUCUAAAACUUUUAUUAUAACAAAUAAUAUAACAUGCAAUUAUCAUUAUUUUUUUAUUUUUUUUUUGAUAACCGAGAAAUCCGUCUGUGACCCGCCCUUUGGACCAAUCACAGCCUUCCAAACUCGGUGGAUAAUGGGCCCGCCCCUCUACCCUUCUCCACUUAAAUACCGGGCUUCGCUUUGCAUGGUGUGGGGCUUGAACCUGCGACCUAAGUCACAGAUCCUCCACCUUUUGCCACUUGAGCUAGGCCUUGGGGGCGCAAUUAUCAUUAUAUAUAUAGAUGUGUGUUUGUGUGUGCAAAUAAUUACCUCCUCAUUACGUUCCAUGGCGAUGUUAAAAAUUUUCUCCUUCUCGGUCUUACUGAUUUUAAGUCUAUGGAUUUGAGGGGACAACUUGUUGGCCAAAUAAGUCGCUGCAGCUUCAUAAAUUUUGUUGUUGACGAGGCCAUCAAAUUCGUCAAUCACCAUCGUUAGCUGAUUUGAGAACUUGGUGAACAUGUUUUUGAGUCCAAAGAAGAGAUAUGCAUGCAGUUCCUUGGGGAUGUAGUUGUGGAUUAUCGUAUGAACCAACAUGACUGUUGCAGCAACUGAGCCUACUCUCGAUAAAUCUGUCUUGGCAAGGGUUAUUUUCGAUUCUGCUGAUGAAGAGGGCAUGCUUCUUAAGGGCUUUUUGGCUAGUGGGUGUGUAACAAGUAAAUUUUUAUUCCUGAAAAUGUAAUAAUCAAGACAAAAAAAUAGCGACAAAUAUUUAAUAUUUGAUUUCAAUAAUGUGCGUGGAUCACAAUCUUUAUGAAAUCUUAAAUAUAAAGACGUAAUCCUUUUAUUGUUAUCAUCAUGACCAGUAUUUUGGAUGGCGAAAGACGCUAAAAGGCGACAAGAGUCUGCCUCGCCACAAGGCGAGGCGAGCGGCGAGGUGCUCGCCUUUUUAAAGUGCGGCACCAUUUAAUACUAAAAAAUUAAAAUAUUUAAUUGCAUAUGUGAAUAAUCAAAAUCUCAAUAACAAUAACAUAUUAGCAAAUAUGUCAAUUCAAAAACUGAAAAUAGAUAACACAUACUAAAAUAGAACUUGAAUGAGAAAAAAACAUAACAAAAGUCAAAACAAAGGUAGAAGUGAUUUUAAAGUCUAAAGAAGAAGGAAAAAGAAAUAGAGGACGAAGAAAUAUGAAGAUGAAAAGAAGAAAUAUGUAUUGGUUAGACUUUGGAGUCGCCGGAAAAGUCUGGCUAGUCACCGGAGGAGUCUGGUCGAAAACCCUAAAAUUACCUUUUAACUUUUGAAAUCCUAAAUUGUUCGCCUUUUUUUAGGAAAAUACAAAUGGUGACACCUUUCUCGCCUCUUGCCUCUCGCCUUUUGUCAUCAUGGCAUCGCAUUUUGAAGAUCGCCUCGCCACAAAGCUAAAAGGAUUUUGAAGAUCGCCUCGCCUCUCGCCAUUGGUGACGAGGCGAUCGCCUUUCACAACACUGAUCACGACCAUCAACUCAAGGUUUUUGCUUGUUCUUGAGUUGAUGAAUCAUUUGUUAUUUAAAAUUUUGUAAGAAUAUAGAGCUAGACUUUGAUCACACAUAUGGAGUUAUAGAAACUUAUGGAUCACCAUCAGAGAUGAAGAACUUGUAGAUCGCCUCUAGAGAGAUGUAUGUAGUUCUCUCCUCUUCUUUAGAUGAUCUGCUGGUUACGGAUGCCUUCUCCCAAUUCUUUUGAGUGUCUCCCUUGAGAGGUAUGUAACACCCCUAUUUAUAGUUGUAGAAGGUAGACUAUUUAAGUGUAGCUUAACUCUCUUGCUUGAUUUUGAUUGGCUCAUUUGAUGAGGUCACAUUUAAUUGGCCAAGACAUGUCAAUUUAGAACAUUUGUUUGCCUUUGAUUGGUGUUUAAUAUGACUAGGAGUGCCACAUCAUUUUAAUACGUGACAUCAUUUUAUUUGUCCUUUAUUUGACUUGAUGCGUCAUGUCAUUUGACAUGUGGCAUGGGCCUUGGCGUAAUUGAGCGGGCUCAUUAUUUGAAGACCAACUCAAUGGACUAGCUCAUGUGAAAUUGGACUCCGCUUUAAAUCCAAAUCUUGGAAUUAAAAAAAUUUAAUCUUGAUUUGGGUUUGAUAUUUAUUGAAUUUAUGAAUGUAUCUAAAUUUAAUCUAGAUUUAUUUCCAUAAAAGUCUACUAAUUCUUCAAGAUUUUGCUCUAGUGUUAUGCCUAGAGCAAGAGUGAACUUGUAGAAAGCAAGAGUGACUUGCAGAAACUGACAUCCUUGACUCAUUGGUUUAGAUUAGUUUUAAGCUAGAAGAGGUCUUGGGUUCAAUACUACUCGACCAUAAUUUUUUUUUAUGAGUAUAUUGUAUUUUUCAAAACAAAGCUUAGUUUGAGGUUUGAACCCCCGACUUCAAACACCAAAAGCAGACGGUGAACCAACAUGCAAUUAGUUUAUUCGUAUCAAGUAACAUCAUUUUGUUUUACAUAUAGCUUUAUACAUAGUAUUAAUAUAUAUAUAUAUAUUUUGUAAAUUUUUCGACGAAGCGUGUCGCUUGACACCCCUUCGCUAAACGUAAGUCUGCCUUGUUGAGCUCCUCUAUUCUUCAUAUUUGCAAAGAAAUAAGCAGAAUUAGAAUCCUCUAAUUGGAGCCACCGGACUCUAGAUUUCAGCCUAUUUAUGCUCUCCUCAAUCAUGCUCCAUUUUUCUAGUUUCAAUUUCAAUGACUUUUCCUGCUCAAACAAUAUAGGGUCGUGCCUAUGAUCCCUCAUUUGUUCUUGAUGAUCAGUUAGAUCUUUCCUGCAUUGGACUACCUUCUUAUCUGCUUGAAGGAGUUCAAUAGGGGAAAUAAGGUGAGUUUCAUAGCAAUAUUGGAACACAAGGUGAAAGAGAAUAAAGUCAGCAAUGCUAUAAAGAAGAUUGCCCAAGGAUGGGAAUGGCAAGCAAACGAAGCUCAAAGUACUAGAAAUAAAAUUUGGAUUUUGUGGAAUCUCCAACUAUAGUGGAGUACACUAUGCUUAUAUGAAAGUACCCUUCAGGGUGGCCUAGUGGUUUGGGCUUGGGACUUCUAUGUUGGAGGUCUCAAGUUCGAAACCCCUUGCCAGCGUAAGUAAGGGAUUUGCCUUCUGGUCGAGCUCGUCGCACUGGGUUGCCUAGUGCGGGUUACCUCUCCUAUGUUGUUUGCGAGCAAUUGCAUAGUAGCGGAGGUUUUACCCUGUGCGCACCCAAAGGGUAGCUGUCCCUUAUUUAAGGAAAGUUUCAAAGUCAUAGUCAAUACCAACUAUUACUAUUAAUGUUAGUCUUAGUACAAUUUUUCCUAUCUACUUUGGACAAUUUCUCACUUUAUUUGUUUUUCUUUCUUCACAUGAUUUUACUAUAAAUUUAUCAUUUUCCUCAAUGGAAAUUGCAUCAAUAUAUAGGUUACUAUUUUUAUUUACACAUUUGGUGCAUAACACUAAUAUCCACUAGCCAAAAAACCCUUAAAAAUUAUGUCCUCUUCAUCAGCAGAAUCGAAAAUGGCCUUGGCCAAGAUUGUUUUAUCAACAGUAGGCUCUAUUGUUGUGACAACCAUAUUGGUUCAUUCGAUAAUCCACGACUACAACCCCUUGGAACUCCAUGAAUAUCUCUUCUUUGGAUUCAAAAACAUGUUCACUAAGUUCUCGAAUCAGCUAACGAUGGUGAUUGCCGAAUUUGAUGGCCUUGUCAACAACGAAAUUUAUGAAGCUGCUGAAAUUUAUUUGGGCAACAAGUUAUCACCUAACAUCCAUUGACUUAAAAUUAGUAAGCUUGAGAAGGAGAAGAAUUUCAACAUCGCCAUGGAAUGUAAUGAAGAGGUAAUGUCUUGCACACACAGACACACAUCUAUGUAUAUAUAUAAUGAUAGUUGCAUGUUAUGGUAUUUGUUAUCAUAAAAUAUUUUAUACUAAACUAAAAAUUAUGUUGCUUGGACUCUUAAAAGAUAUUUACUACUAAGAAUACAUGGAUUAGUAGUGGAAUUUUUUUGUAGCUAAACAACAAUAUCCGUCACUACAUAUUAUCAAAAAAUUGUGCUAGAUAUGAGCUAUUUAGCAACAAAUUUCAUAGCAAAUUUCAGUUUUUUUUGUAAUGAUUGUCGAGUUUAUGUUGGUCCUUUCUAAAGCAAUGAACUUUUGAAGAAUCUGACACAUGUAUGACGACCACAUUUUUUAGGGUCCGAGCAACAUAGAAUCGAAAUAGUCAGGCGGUCAACUUAAUGCUUAAAGUUAAAUGUUCGUAAGAAGCAUCAUAAAAUAUGUGUUUUUAUGUAUAGAUAUGCAGAUACAACUAAUUUAACGAUAAACAAACAAAUUAGAAACAAACAAACUAUGUGUAAUUAUAAAUAGGGUUAUGGUCUCCAAAUCAGACAUAUGACUUGUUUCUAAUAGUCAAACAUUAGAAAAGUGAAUUAAAUCCUGGAUUGUUUCUUGAAUUUAUGAAUUUAUCUAAAUUUAAUUCCAUAAACUCCUAAUUCUACUAAUGCUUCAAGAUUUUGCUUGAGUGUUAUGUGUGAUAAAAUAGUAACCAGUAUAUUGAUUCUUGAAUUAUUUUAUUUUUUUUCCGAUCUACAAGAAGGUAAGGGGAAAUAGGUGCAAUGGCAAUUGAGGAAAAUGCAAAAUUUGUUGGAAAAUCAUUUGGAAUAGUAGAACAGAGGGAAUAAUUUAUAUACAGAUAAACUAGCUGUUUGAGGUCAUGCUUGCAUAGCUUAGAAACUAACAUCACAUACAGAGUCUGCGAGAAAAAGUUUAUAAGAGCGUGAAGAAUCUGUAAAUAAAAUGAUUUAUAUUCUUAUCUGCAACACUCAUAAACCAAAUACAGUAAUAGCAAUACGAAAUUCCAGCUAAUUCUGUUUGUUCAUCAAUCAAUAUAAUAGUACUCUUAAGGGGGGCAUACUACUUGAUCGUUAACGAUUACAAAAUUAUAUAAACUAAUCUUCUAAUCAUUGAUUAAGUGAUAUGGAUUAUUACUAGUUUUCUUUAAUCCCAUUUCCAUUACUUUCUUUCUUCUCAUCAACUGACUCCAUUUGAGUUAUUUCCAUGGCCUCUUCUUCUCUUUCAUCUUUUUGUGAAGAAAAUUAAUCAACCCUUUAAGUGAAUCUUCGACUUCAUGUUCCUUCAACAACUGCUCUGCCACUUCUGCUGGUGUCACAUUGGCUAUGUCAAUCAAUUCCUCAAUUUCAUUGAAAAAUUUAUGAUCUUUAAUCCCCAAGUAAUUUGCAGCAAGAAGUUUGAAGCCACAAGGUGUGCAAUAUGCCAUGUGAAUGUGCACAUCCAUUCUGCCAGGUCGCAGCAGUGCAGGGUCAAGUUUUUCUAUGUGAUUUGUUGUGAAAAUUAUGAUUCUUUCAUCUCCACAGCUCAACCAUAGCCCGUCAAUAAAAUUUAGUAAACUUGACAAGGUGAUCUGCAAUAAAAAUAAAUAUAUUAGUAAGGUAAAGUAUUACACACAACACAAUACACUAAUACCAAAUCCAAAUUUUCCCAAUAAUUGACAAUUUAUUCAUGAAAAUCACAAAUUAAUGGAGGGUGAAAUUAUUGUAGUUAGUAGAAUUUGUAAAAAUAUAUCGACUAAUCCGUAGGCAAGGACGCAUUAUAACAAUUGUUCAAAACCCCUUCACGCUCUUGUCAUGUCGAAAUACUGCACAAAAAUAGGCCAACAUAUCCUAUCCAAUUUAUGGUAAUUAAUCAGUUAUCCUAAAAACUGUAAUAGCAGGAGCAAAACCCCAUUAUCUUUCACUUGACCUGUCACGCCCCGAGCCUACACCUCGGACGUGGCUGGCACUCGAAACCAUUGCUGGCCCUAAGUGAACCCUUGGCCUGACUUACUUACUAAGCGGAAGACUCUAAGCAUUAUUACAAUGAUCAAAUGCACUUACUCAAUGGUUUAAUAAAAUAACUUUAAAUGUUUAAAAGUCAACAUUCAACUUGGCCAAAAUGGCAACUCAAGUCUUAACAUAUGAAAUGAUAAUGUAAAGACAACUGAACUACUAACUGUCUGUGAAGCCUCUAAAACAAAGAGGGAUGUCGGGACAAGACCCCCGAUCAUCUUAACAAUGAAAUACUGAAAGCAAAUGAUAAAAAGAGUCCUCCAGAAUGCAAGGAGGCUCACCAACUGACUCUGAGUGCUCAACUGGAUCAACGAAGCGCUGUAUAUUGAUCCUGGUUACCUGCGUCUGCAUCACAAUAAGAUGCAGGCCAACUGGCAUCACUACAUUGAAUGUACGAGUAUACGAGUUGGAAUGCUAAACGUAACUUAAGCUUGAAAAGAAUCUGAAAGAAACACUUACCUUGGCCUUACUCAACUCCUGAAUAACUUAACUCAAUAUAAAGCAAUAAAACACAUGCAAUAUAUAGAAAGCCUUUAAAACAGUAGAAAACAACUUAGUUCGUUAAACAAAAAGCAAUAACAAACUCAAUUUUACUCAUACAAUAAAGUAAUAUAGUUUAUGUGGGAGAUUCUCUAACCGACAACCANNNNNNNNNNNNNNNNNNNNNNNNNNNNNNNNNNNNNNNNNNNNNNNNNNNNNNNNNNNNNNNNNNNNNNNNNNNNNNNNNNNNNNNNNNNNNNNNNNNNNNNNNNNNNNNNNNNNNNNNNNNNNNNNNNNNNNNNNNNNNNNNNNNNNNNNNNNNNNNNNNNNNNNNNNNNNNNNNNNNNNNNNNNNNNNNNNNNNNNNNNNNNNNNNNNNNNNNNNNNNNNNNNNNNNNNNNNNNNNNNNNNNNNNNNNNNNNNNNNNNNNNNNNNNNNNNNNNNNNNNNNNNNNNNNNNNNNNNNNNNNNNNNNNNNNNNNNNNNNNNNNNNNNNNNNNNNNNNNNNNNNNNNNUCUUAACUUUCCUUGAAUUGAAUUAUGGAUUCAAGGUUCAUGAUCUCAUGUUUAUGGAUGAUUUCAUGAUGUUUAGAUGUACCUUAGAGUGUUGGAAUUGACUAGAAAAGAUAGGUACAUUGCUAAGGAACAAGUACGAAAAGAUGGGGGGACGAAUGGGGAGAACUGGCGUCCCUGGUGCUCUGAGAGGUGCGGGGAGCCAGCCCUCAAAAUUCAGAGACGGGUCUGGGGCGCGCUGGCUGCCACGGAGCCCAAGGGUGAAAAUUAAGAAACCCUUUUGGGGGGCGCUGGCUGGCGCGACGCCCCACCCUUUUCCCUAGGUGUUUGACGACUUUUCUUGCUCGUUUUUCAUCUCUAAACCCUCUAAACUUCAAUGGUUCUUUCCUCAAACAUUUAGAAUCGACAAAACCAUCCAAAUACAUCAGAUUAUACUUGAAAUCACAACUAAUUACAUGAAUUGGGAUCAAACAACUCCUCAACAAUUUCAACGAAUCAAGAAUUCAAAGGAGCUUCAACAAAUCCAUCAAGAAUUCAAUUUCUAAACUUUCAAAGACUUGAUUCGCUGAAAUAAAACAUGAUUUGGUGCAUGGGUGAACUGACUCAACGCUAUGUGAUCUCACAUACCUCGUAGGGAUCACCCCUUGACGAAAUCCACAAGCUAAACUCGAACGUUCUUGACGAUUUCUUGAUUUCUCUUCUCCUUUUUCCUCUUUUCUCUUUUCUCCAAGCCCUAGCGUGAACUUCAACUUUUCUAAACUGACUAAAAUCUUACUUUACCCCAAUUAAAAUCCUAAAAACGAAUUAAAACAAUUGGGUAAGGAAAAUACUAAAUUAUCCUUCCGAAAUCCGGAUUGGACUUUCCUUAUUCGAACAACCCAACUUCCAAAAAGCAUAUCUCACUCAUACGAACUCGGAAUCACGCAAACUCGGCGGCGUUGGAAAGAUUAUUCCAAGAGCUUUCCUACCAUAUUUGGAAGUAUACCUAACUCAUCCUGAUCUAGGAGUUAUGUCCGUUUGAAGUUGACCAAUACUCAACUUAUUCUAACUUAACAAAAUUUCCAAAUUUUCAUUCUUUCCAAAAAUGACUAUUUCCGAUUAUUAACUCCUUCCUAGUUAUUUCAAUUUGCAAGAUUUUACAUGACCGAUCCCCUGACUACAGAUUUCACACUACCCCAUCAACUAAAAUACAUAGCCCCAACUUUUUCUAUUUAAUCAUUUGGUAUAAAUCUGAGUUUGUACCUAGUAGGAAUAGUAAAGAUAGGAAAUAGAAAAUAAAAGACUAAUUUACCGUGCUUUCUGACUGAUGAAAAUCAUUUGAACAAACAUACAUAGCUCGAUUAACCAAAUUAGCUUUCAAGUCAAUGGUACAAUCAAUGUCCUCAAUCACCAAAAUUGACUUAUUGGUUGUGGUAACCAACAACUUCCUUAAAUCUGAAUUCCUCGUCACUGCAGUCAACUCCAAAUCAUAUAUAUCGAAGUUUAAAUAAUUCGGUAUUGCAGCAAUCAAACUAGAUUUCCCAGUCCCCGGAGGACCAAAUUACAAGUACCCUAUUUUCCAUGCCUUCCCUACUUUCCUGUAAUACUCUUUCCUCGUCAUGACCCUCUCCAAAUCCUUCAAGAUCAUGUCUUUCUGGUCUGAUUCCAUUGCGAUUGUCUCAAAAGUGGCAGCAUGAUCAAAAUUCGCCGGCUUCCACAUGUCACGUAAACUGUGAGUUUUAGGCUAAAUUCAUCCCUCAAGUAUAACCCAAACUUAGGGUACAUCCUUAUAGUAUAAUUGUGAACCAAAUACAUCCUUUAACUAUCUCAAAACACGCAUAAACAUCCUUUAUGUUAACUACUGUUAAAAAACUAACAGAAACAAUUACAUGUGCCAAGUACAUGACAUCCACCAAAUCACAUAGACUAUACUACUGAUUUCCUCCCAAAUUUUGAUCGUUUUCAAUAUUCAGCAGGGCUUUUGUCUUCUAGAAACAAAACUUCCUGUUCUUCUGAACUUAAGCAACCGUACAAGUUCUUUUUCAACAUAAGAAUUGAAGCUGGGCAAAAGAAAUAGCCAUUGAAAAAGAUUUGAUUUUACCAAUAUUGUACUAUUUUUGUUAUUUCUCAAACUAAAUAUCUUUUUCACUUUCAAAAUCAUCAGAUUUUGUAGGUUGAAAAACAAGAAACAAUACGUAGGAACAGAGAUUCCGAAUUUUCUUUAUCAUUGCAUUGAAGUUUCUAUGGAUGACACUUUUAAUUAAAAGCACCUUAUCGACCACUGAGAAAUCAUGUUUCUAGCGGCACCUCGCACAACUAAGAAAAAAUCUAUCUUCAGGCCAACAUGCUUGGUGUAUUUUCUCUCCAAAUUGUUUCUCAAGAGCUCUCCCGAAUUGCCAACGACUGUGCAUCUUCUAAAUUAUCGCUGCUAUUAGUUUUUUUCGAAAAUUUGAGUGCAAUGAUCAGUUAUAUGAGUAGUCGAUUCCAACCCUCGGUUAGCAAAGCGUUGCUGAAGGUUAGAUUGGAAGUGGGACAGUUGGAGCAGAUCAUUUUUCUGCACAAAAGCAUGAAAGAAGAGUCUCAACUUAUUGUGCGUUAUUGUUCAUGAAGAUUAAAAAUCAAUCUACAGUAUAUGGAGAUUUUGGGGAAGUCACGUUCUUAGCACAUGUAUUUGUUUCUAUUAGUUUUUAAACCGUAGUUAACAGAAAGGAGGUUUUAUGCAAGUUUUAGAAUAACUAACGGAUGUUUUUUGUUCACAAUUAUAUCAUGAGGAUGUACUCUAAGUUUAGGUUAUACUUGAGGGAUGAUUUUAGCCUAAAACUCUGUAAACUGUACAUUCUUUCGUAACCCACAGUAUGAAUCUUGAUCGUCUUGUUUUUGUGUUUUUGCAAUAUUGAGAUGUAUGGCAAGUAAGAAUUAAGG
rnacentral:lncRNA from 1 species